UACGAAGGGUGCUAGCGUUGUUCGGAAUCACUGGGCGUAAAGCGCGCGUAGGUGGCUAUGCAAGUCAGAGGUGAAAGCCUGGAGCUCAACUCCAGAACUGCCUUUGAAACUGCAUAGCUAGAGUGUCGGAGGGGAUAGCGGAAUUGCUAAUGUAGAGGUGAAAUUCGUAGAUAUUAGCAGGAACACCGGUGGCGAAGGCGGCUAUCUGGACGACAACUGACACUGAGGCGCGAAAGCGUGGGGAUCAAACAGG
rnacentral:rRNA from 1 species